AAAGCCAAAUUACUAUUCUACCAUCAGCCUAAUUUUAUGCAUACUGAAUUCAGAAAAUCUUGAACUCGAGGACGCUCUAAUGGUGGAAUCUACUGCCAACAGCCGCAUCAGAGACCUCGAUAGGCUUCUACUGCGCUCCGGCCACCUAGUUGGACGUAAUUUUGAACCCAGUGCCGAUCGUGUUUGAUAUUUCGGAUAUCUUGAAGCUGCGUAGGAGGAUGGAAGUAGUUUAGAAAUUUGCAAUUGCAUUUCAGAUUAUCUUGGUAUUGGACGAGAGUAUAUUUUCUUGUUGCUGUUAUCUCUCUGCUGAUUCAAGAAAGCGCUUACUAUUGGAGUUCUGCAUUAUUAUUUGGUAGUUUGCAGAUCUAUUUGUUUUUCUUUAUGGAGACUAGUGGGAAUGGGUCCAAAUUUGUGAUACCCAUUCCCAACUAAUGCCCGGAGAAGUUAGUUUCAGAUGUGAUUUAGUUGAGAUUAGCACUGUAUCUGAUAUUAAGUAACAACUAAUUGAAUCCAGACUAAAUCGUGUAUUGCUAGAGGUAGUGGACUUUGUAGAAUGUACUAGUGGAUGCUCCUUCAUAGUGAAGAAGAAACAAGAAUGGCACUAUAAGAAGGACAAUGGAGGUGCUGGAGAAAAAAUAUCCUGUUGAUGCAAAGGACUACAAGUUGUAUGAGGAAGUUGGGGAAGGCGUCAGUGCUACUGUAUACAGGGCUCUUUGUAUUCCUUUUAAUGAGGUAGUUGCUAUUAAGGUUCUUGAUAUGCAGAGAUGCAAUAAUGACUUGGUUCAAGAGAUACACAAACAAUAUGAGAAGAUCAAUGAACUUCUAAGAAAGCUUCAG